rnacentral:rRNA from 1 species
UACGUAGGUGGCAAGCGUUGUCCGGAUUUAUUGGGUUUAAAGGGUGCGUAGGUGGUCUAUUAAGUCAGUGCUGAAAUAUCCCGGCUUAACCGGGAGGGUGGCAUUGAUACUGAUGGACUUGAGUAAAGUUGAGGUGGGCGGAAUUGACGGUGUAGCGGUGAAAUGCUUAGAUAUCGUCAAGAACACCUAUUGCGAAGGCAGCUCACUAAGCUUCAACUGACACUGAGGCACGAAGGUGUGGGGAUCAAACAGG